UACGGGGGGGGCAAGCGUUGUUCGGAAUUACUGGGCGUAAAGGGCUCGUAGGUGGCCAACUAAGUCAGACGUGAAAUCCCUCGGCUUAACCGGGGAACUGCGUCUGAUACUGGAUGGCUUGAGUUUGGGAGAGGGACGCGGAAUUCCAGGUGUAGCGGUGAAAUGCGUAGAUAUCUGGACGAACACCGGUGGCGAAGGCGGCGUCCUGGACCAACACUGACACUGAGGAGCGAAAGCCAGGGGAGCAAACGGG
rnacentral:rRNA from 1 species